UUUGUUUUCAAGAGGCGUUAUCUGUCUUUAAUUGUACUUUGUAAACUGAGUGGUCAGAUCCAGCUGAGAUCAAAAGGUUCCCAUCAGAUUAAGGAAGAGGCCUUGUACUGCAUUAUGAUGCUAAUAUCUGGUCCAGCAUCCCACUGCCAAUUAAGUUGGACAAGACAGGCUACGUGGAGUAUGUUCAUCUCAAGCACAGAGAACAGAGAUGGCAAACGUCUGUUGAGUGAAAGUUCCUGCUAUGCACAGCGAAGACUGUUGCAAGAAGGUCUCCCUCCUAACAUGAAGGAGAGUUCACUGCCUCACACUAUGCAUUUGCCAGAUAUUUGCCACAGUAACCACAGAAAUGUUUGUGUCAGCACAAUGGAGGGAAGCGCACAAACAAGACGAGGAAGGCUCCAGGGGUACAGGAACUCUGUCUGCAACCGUGCCACCAAUAUCCAACCACAUCUGAGCCAAUAGAUACUGACGAAGUAUUUAUUGGUGUGUCUGGACUCAGCAGAGCGUUGGAAGGUAAACUGAUAGUGAGAAGAAGGAUCUUGGUGCAUAUAUCCCUGCCAUUGUCAUUAGAAACAACAUGGAGCGGGAAAUGCACUGAAGAAGGAAUGUAACCAUGAAGCUGAAUUUAAAUACCGUGACCUACAUUUUCCAUGACUGGUUUCCUCAGUAUCUCCUUAAAUGCUUUC